rfam:TPA: Bos taurus chromosome 19, whole genome shotgun sequence.
UCCCUGGUGGUCCAGUGGCUAAGACUCUGCCCUGCAAAUGCAGGGGGCCUGGGUUUAAUCCCUGGUCAGGGAA